AACGCACGAGACCUGCGGACCUGCGGAAGGAUCAUUAAUGAGAAACUGCCCCUCGCGGGUAGAUCUCCCACCCUUUGUAAACUUACCUUUGUUGCUUUGGCAGGCCCGUCUCCGGACCGCCGGCUUCGGCUGGCCAGUGCCUGCCAGAGGAUUCUAAAACUCCGUCUGUCAGUGUUGUCUGAGUCUAUAUACAAUCGUUAAAACUUUUAGCAAUGGAUCUCUAGAUCGGAAGAGCACACG
rnacentral:misc_RNA from 1 species